CGAAGGGGGCGAGCGUUGUUCGGAAUUACUGGGCGUAAAGCGUGUGUAGGUGGCUAUUUAAGUCUGAUGUGAAAGCCCAGGGCUCAACCUUGGAACUGCAUUAGAUACUAUUUAGCUAGAGUGGUGGAGAGGAAAGCGGAAUUCCCAGUGUAGAGGUGAAAUUCGUAGAUAUUGGGAGGAACACCAAUGGCGCAGGCAGCUUUCUGGACACACACUGACACUGAGACACGACAGCGUGGGGAGCAAACAGGAUUAGAUACCCUGGUAGUCCACGCCGUAAACGAUGUGCACUUGCCGUCGGGAUCAUAGAUCUCGGUGGCGAAGCUAACGCGAGAAGUGCACCGCCUGGGGAGUACGGCCGCAAGGUUG
rnacentral:rRNA from 1 species